CUACGGGAGGCUGCAGUGAGGAAUAUUGCACAAUGGGGGGAACCCUGAUGCAGCAACGCCGCGUGGAGGAUGACGCAUUUCGGUGUGUAAACUCCUUUUAUAUGUCAAGAAAAUGACGGUAGCAUAUGAAUAAGCACCGGCUAACUCCGUGCCAGCAGCCGCGGUAAUACGGAGGGUGCAAGCGUUACUCGGAAUCACUGGGCGUAAAGGACGCGUAGGCGGGUUGGAAAGUCAGGUGUGAAAUCCUACAGCUUAACUGUAGAACUGCACUUGAAACUUCUAAUCUAGAGUAUGGGAGGGGGAGAUGGGAUUAGUGGUGUAGGGGUAAAAUCCGUAGAUAUCACUAGGAAUACCUAAAGCGAAGGCGAUCUCCUGGAACAUUACUGACGCUAAGGCGUGAAAGCGUGGGGAGCAAACGGGAUUAGAUACCCCAGUAGUC
rnacentral:rRNA from 1 species